GUUGCUGUGGCCGAGAGGUUAAGGCGAUGGAUUUGAAAUCCAUUGGGAUGUUCCCGCGCAGGUUCGAGUCCUGCCAGCAACG